rnacentral:rRNA from 1 species
AUUGAACGCUGGCGGCAGGCUUAACACAUGCAAGUCGAACGAGUGGCGGACGGGUGAGUAAUGCUUGGGAAUCUAGCUUAUGGAGGGGGAUAACUACGGGAAACUGUAGCUAAUACCGCGUACCAUAGGAUGAGCCCAAGUGGGAUUAGGUAGUUGGUGAGGUAAAGGCUCACCAAGCCGACGAUCUCUAGCUGGUCUGAGAGGAUGACCAGCCACACGGGGACCGGGCCACGGCCCAGACUCCUACGGGAGGGAGCAGUGGGGAACAUUGCGCAAUGGGCGAAUGCCUGAUGCAGCGACGCCGCGUGGGGGAUGAAGGCUUUCGGGUUGUAAACCUCUUUCGCUAUCGAACGGGUAGGUGGAGAAGAAGCGCCGGCUAACUACGUGCCAGCAGCCGCGGUAAUAC